AAUGAAGUGCCUGAAUAAAGGAUUAUCAUGAUAGGAUAAACUAUGUAAGACCACUUUUACCUUCAUUA
rnacentral:tRNA from 1 species